rnacentral:lncRNA from 1 species
GAGAGCUCCCGGGUUGGCAGACGCAUCCGUGUGCAUCCCAACUCCAUAGGGACAGAAGCUCCUGUGCUCAGGAGCCUUCCAGGCCUCUGUGUGUUUCUUCAUCUGGCUGUUCGUCUGUAUCCUUUAUCAUACUUUUUACUCACGCAAUAAACUGGGGAACGUGUCUCCCUGAGCUUUGAACCAUAUAUGGAGGGCACAUGAUGAGUAAUUUUCACCAGCAUCUGUUUUUCAAACUAGGAAUUCCACCUUGAAUGAUGAAAGUGUCUUCAGAACUGUCAUCAAAUAAUUACUCAUCCACCCAGCUGUGGAAGACUGGGCACUGCCAUUUGCCAAGUGCAGGAAAAGCUCUGAGAAACAGGAUAACUGAGGGCAACCCCUGACACGAUAAAGUCUGGCAGAGAAGAGAGAAAAGAAAAAUGCCAGCCAAAUACAUAAACUAAGUACAUUUCACCGUGAUGUGCUUCUGCAUGGAGUAAACAGUAAAAUGCAACAAUUACACCAGACCCAGCCUCUCCUUUUUUGGAGGGAGGCGAUGGUUUUGAAAUAGUAAUCAAUCUUUAAAACUGGUAUACAGAGCAUGUGCUAAUGUGUGACAUGUAUGGCUGACGAAGAGACUGAAACAGAUUUUCCUUUGCCUUCUUCUCUGUAACACUGAAUAUGAUGUACAUAAGAUAAUCCUAUAGAAAAUGCACAGCAAAAAAAUGUUUUGCUAAAAAAAAAAUAAAUAAAUAAAUAAAAAUAAAAAAGCUU